GUGGGGAAUAUUGGACAAUGGGCGCAAGCCUGAUCCAGCCAUGCCGCGUGUGUGAAGAAGGCCUUCGGGUUGUAAAGCACUUUCAGCGAGGAGGAAGGGUUGUGUGUUAAUAGUACACAGCUUUGACGUUACUCGCAGAAGAAGCACCGGCUAACUCUGUGCCAGCAGCCGCGGUAAUACAGAGGGUGCAAGCGUUAAUCGGAAUUACUGGGCGUAAAGCGCACGCAGGCGGUUGGUUAAGUCAGAUGUGAAAGCCCCGGGCUCAACCUGGGAAUUGCAUUUGAAACUGGCCAACUAGAGUACGUGAGAGGGGGGUAGAAUUCCAAGUGUAGCGGUGAAAUGCGUAGAGAUUUGGAGGAAUACCAGUGGCGAAGGCGGCCCCCUGGCACGAUACUGACGCUCAGGUGCGAAAGCGUGGGGAGCAA
rnacentral:rRNA from 1 species